rnacentral:rRNA from 1 species
UACGGGGGGGCAAGCGUUGUUCGGAAUCACUGGGCGUAAAGGGUGCGUAGGCGGGUCUUUAAGUCAGGGGUGAAAUCCUGGAGCUCAACUCCAGAACUGCCUUGAUACUGAAGAUCUUGAGUUCGGGAGAGGUGAGUGGAACUGCGAGUGUAGAGGUGAAAUUCGUAGAUAUUCGCAAGAACACCAGUGGCGAAGGCGGCUCACUGGCCCGAUACUGACGCUGAGGCACGAAAGCGUGGGGAGCAAACAGGG